UACGUAGGGGGCUAGCGUUGUCCGGAAUCAUUGGGCGUAAAGCGCGUGUAGGCGGUCCGGUAAGUCCGCUGUGAAAGUCGGGGGCUCAACCCUCGAAUGCCGGUGGAUACUGUCGGGCUAGAGUGCGGAAGAGGCGAGUGGAAUUCCUGGUGUAGCGGUGAAAUGCGCAGAUAUCAGGAGGAACACCGGUGGCGAAGGCGGGUCUCUGGGCCGGAUACUGACGCUGGAGGAGCGAAAGCGUGGGGAGCGAACAGG
rnacentral:rRNA from 1 species